UAGUACAACGAACAACUUUUCUGGAUUCUUCAGACAGAUGCAGUCUACGGUCGUUUGGUAUAUGGGAGUAUAACUCUCCACUGGAUAACGCAAAUAUGUUAUUGGACGUGGCACCUGUCAAGUCUAAAAGCAGCGUGUCGGGAGGUGGGCUGCGCCGCAUUUUCAAUCGGGACUCACGCAUCUAUAUCGAGCAAAGACCUCGCUUUCAUAAUCAAACGUUCACAAUAUGAUGAAAAAUUCCCCAGCUUUUUGACAGCCUCUUUUGACUUUCCUGUUCUUUUUCGGAUUUUUAUCAUCGCAUGGGAUAUACUUUCAGUAGCCAGGAGAAAGUUAUAGGAGUGAGAAUCGACCCUUUCAUUCCGAGCGUGAUUUUUCCUUGGCACUCCGGCUGAUCCACGUCAAAAACCCAUCUCUGUUGCCUUAAGAAUGGGACUGCUUUUUCAGUGCAUGAAUGAAGGAGUCACCAAGAAG